UGAUAAUUGUUUGAGUAUAGCUGUUUGAAGUCCAAAUUUGAUUUAAAGGCUUUAUGAAUCUUGUUUCUUAUUCUUAAAUAGAAUUAUAGUUCAUUGAUUUUGACUUGGCGUGUCUACUUAAAGACAAGGGCUUGGGUGGAGUUGAUGAGAAAGAUGUGAGGAAGGCUCUUAAGGGAAGAUCAGAAGCUGAGGUGAAAAAGGUCAUUGACAUUCUCAUGGUAUGGGUUUUCUUCAUUUCGGCGAUACCAAAAGAAAGUGAUUGAGAAAAUCAUAGCAGGGAGGGAUUGUUUGAUUGUCAUGGCCACUGGAAGUGGCAAAUCUUCGUGGUUGAAAGUGGUUUAAUUUGAUUUCAGCUAUCAAUUGCGUCCUUUGGUUAUUGGAAAGACCGGUGUGGUUGUGAGCCCUCUUAUAUCCUUAAUGCAAGAUCAGGUAAACUAACUUUUUUGGUGUUUUUGAUUAAUGCUCAAUGAGUUUCAACAUAAACAGAAUGUCUUGAAACAGACCCAGAUUGCAUGUCAAUAAGAUUUAUUUUGUUAGUAUAAAAGGAUCUUCAUUAGUCGAUUACAUAUGUAUCGAGACAAAUGAUAAUUAGCUGGUACCUAGUCCUCAGUAGCCACUAGCUGCAAAUUAGACUGUCUUUGAUAUAUUGUCUAUAGUCAUCCCAUAAUGCAAGUAGUUUCCUACAUUCUUAUGUUCCUGUAAAUAGCUUUUGUUCUCUUCCUUUCUUUCUUGUACAUAAUUAGUUCAUGAGGUCAGGUUAUUCAUAGAAGAAUACAAACGUUUUAUCCCCGGACAA